UACUGUGGAAUAGUUACUGUAGCUAUUGU
rnacentral:piRNA from 1 species